CCUACGGGGGGCAGCAGUAGGGAAUUUUCGUCAAUGGGCGCAAGCCUGAACGAGCGAUGCCGCGUGAGUGAAGAAGGCCUUCGGGUCGUAAAGCUCUGUUGCGGGGGAAAAAAGGCAGCAUCAGGAAAUGGGUGCUGACUGAUGGUGCCCCGCCAGAAAGUCACGGCUAACUACGUGCCAGCAGCCGCGGUAAUACGUAGGUGGCGAGCGUUAUCCGGAAUGAUUGGGGGUAAAGGGUGCGAAGGGGGUCCUGCAAGUCUGGAGUGAAAGGGAUGAGUUAAACUUAUGAAUGGGUUUGGAAAGUG
rnacentral:rRNA from 1 species